ACCUGAUGUGCUUCAUUUAUUAAUCAUUUUGCAGAAACAGUUAAAAAAAUAUUUCUCUGACCAAAGUGAUCUGAAAGAUUGGACUUCCCUACGUGUAACCUACAAGAAGGACUUGUCCAUUAUUAAUAUUAUGCUGCUACAGAGAAUGAUGGGAAAUGUAGUUUGGUCAUAAUUCUGUGUCCUCAUGAAUCAGCCAAAUAAGCAGUGCUUUCUGGAAAUUGCUAUUUUUCAUUGCUACCCCAGUAUAGACGCAAUUAAUUACAAUUAGCACUACUUGUGCUAUUUAUUAUUGUUGCUAAGACUUCUAGAAAAGAAUAACUGGAAAGGCUAUUCUGAUGAUCCAUUACCUGCUGCAACACACCUGCCGGUAAUUUUGAAGUAAUCCUAUAAACCAUUAUUAGCUGGUUUAGGGCUGGAGCUAAACUGCGUCAUAUUGAUUUCAUACCUGCAUUAAAAUAUGUUGAGAAGAUCUAAUUUCUGCUUUGGGAACAAGAAUGAAUCCUCCCAGGAUAUUUGGGUCUGAGCCCAGCGUGGCCCGUCUCUGAUCGAUGACCCACUCUACGGCUAUCUUUCAGAAAGCUAUGGGACUCGCAAUGACUCACCGUUUCCUCCAGAGAAGACUUUAGGGUCCGGCUGUAUAUAUAAUGAGAUUGGAGUAAACAACAUCUGGCUGAGCUCCUGUAUUUGCUCCUGUGAGACAUCUGCAUAAUUUUUUUUUUUUUUUUUUUUUUUUUUUUGUUAUUCACAACAUUUUGAGAAGAUGCCAAUACUAGAGUUUGUGAAAAGUAGUAAAGUGAAAUAAAACAAAAAAAUUAA